rnacentral:rRNA from 1 species
UACGGAAGGCAGCAGUGGGGAAUAUUGCACAAUGGGCGCAAGCCUGAUGCAGCCAUGCCGCGUGUAUGAAGAAGGCCUUCGGGUUGUAAAGUACUUUCAGUCGUGAGGAAGGUGUUAAGGUUAAUAACCUUAGCAAUUGACGUUAGCGACAGAAGAAGCACCGGCUAACUCCGUGCCAGCAGCCGCGGUAAUACGGAGGGUGCGAGCGUUAAUCGGAAUUACUGGGCGUAAAGGGCACGCAGGCGGUUAAUUAAGUUGGAUGUGAAAUCCCCGGGCUUAACCUGGGAAUGGCAUUCAAGACUGGUUAGCUAGAGUCUUGUAGAGGGGGUAGAAUUCCAUGUGUAGCGGUGAAAUGCGUAGAGAUGUGGGAGGAAUACCGGGUGGCGAAGGCGGCCCCUGGGCAAAGCUGACGCUCGAUGUGGCGGAAAGGCGGUGGGGAGGCAAACGGAGGAAUUAAGAAUAACCCGU